rnacentral:rRNA from 1 species
ACGGGUGAGAAACGCGUAGGAAUCUGCCUUACAGAGGGGGACAACCGGAGGAAACUCCGGCUAAUACCGCAUAAGGUCUAAGGACCAAAGGCUGGGUAGCAAUACCUGGCGCUGUGAGAGGAGCCUGCGUCCGAUUAGCUAGUUGGUAGGGUAAAGGCCUACCAAGGCGAUGAUCGGUAGCUGGUCUGAGAGGAUGAUCAGCCACACUGGGACUGAGACACGGCCCAGACUCCUACGGGAGGCAGCAGUGGGGAAUAUUGGACAAUGGGGGCAACCCUGAUCCAGCAAUACCGCGUGUGUGAAGAAGGCCUUCGGGUUGUAAAGCACUUUAGGUUGGGAAGAAGGCGUGUUGUUUAAGAGAUGAUACGUUUGACUGUACCGACAGAAUAAGCACCGGCUAACUCUGUGCCAGCAGCCGCGGUAAUACAGAGGGUGCAAGCGUUAAUCGGAGUUACUGGGCGUAAAGGGCGCGUAGGCGGUUAUGCAAGUGAGACGUGAAAGCCCCGGGCUUAACCUGGGAAUGUCGUCUUAAACUGCAUGACUGGAGUACUGUAGAGGGUAGUGGAAUUUCCGGUGUAGC